CAGGUCUCUCGACCAACGACCAGAGUCUCUGGAAAGGAUGACCGGGAACCGGUCAACUGUUCGUUGUCGUAGAAACCUGAU
rnacentral:pre_miRNA from 1 species